GACGAACGCUGGCGGCGUGCUUAACACAUGCAAGUCGAACGGUGAAGCGCCUUCCUUUUUGGUGGGUGUGGAUGAGUGGCGAACGGGUGAGUAACACGUGAGUAACCUGCCCCCUUCUUCUGGAUAACCGCAUGAAAGUGUGGCUAAUACGGGAUAUUCUGGGUCUGUCGCAUGAUGGGUCUGGGAAAGAUAUUGUUUCGGUGGGGGAUGGGCUCGCGGCCUAUCAGCUUGUUGGUGGGGUGAUGGCCUACCACGGCGGUGACGGGUAGCCGGCCUGAGAGGGUGGACGGACACACUGGGACGGAGACACGGCCCAGACUCCUACGGGAGGCAGCAGGGGGGAAUAUUGCACAAUGGGCGCAAGCCUGAUGCAGCGACGCCGCGUGAGGGAUGGAGGCCUUCGGGUUGUGAACCUCUUUCGCCAGUGAAGCAGGCCUGCCUCGUUUGUGGGUGGGUUGACGGUAGCUGGAGAAGAAGCGCCGGCUAACUACGUG
rnacentral:rRNA from 1 species